rnacentral:rRNA from 1 species
UACGUAGGGGGCAAGCGUUGUCCGGAUUUACUGGGCGUAAAGAGCGUGUAGGCGGCCACGCAGGUCCGUUGUGAAAACUGGAGGCUCAACCUCCAGCUGUCGACGGAAACCGUAUGGCUAGAGUCCGGAAGAGGAGAGUGGAAUUCCUGGUGUAGCGGUGAAAUGCGCAGAUAUCAGGAAGAACACCCGUGGCGAAGGCGGUUCUCUGGGACGGUACUGACGCUGAGACGCGAAAGCGUGGGGAGCGAACAGG